GGCCAAAGCAUGAAGUGAAGAGGAAAGGAAAGAACACAAACCCUAGGUGGGAAAAUUGAAGAAAAAGCGUGAGAUUUCAAGGGAUUAAGCUAAUAAAGGUAAAAUUUUGUGAUUUUAUCUUGUGAUUUACACUACCCAUGCUUUCUUUUUCAUUUUUCAUGCUUAGAACUCAAGUUUGCAUGAUGAACCCAUGCUGGCCGAAUUUGAGAGGAGAGGUUUUGAGCAUUGAUUUUGCUAGAUUUCAAGCUAAUUAAGUGUUUUUGGUUGUUUGGUAAUGGAAAGUAUGAAAAUCUAGCAAGGAAUCACUUUGUUCUUCACAAACCCACAAGAGGCCGAAUUUUCUAGGGAGGAUAUUGAGGCUGAAAUUGAUGAUAUUUCAUGAUAUUUUGGUGGUAUUUAAUGAUUGGUGAGGCUAGAAAUUUAAUGGGAAAUUUUGGCAUGAAAAUCUGAAUUUUUACCUAAUGUAUAGACAUGUGCGAUUUAUGGUUCAGACUGAUAAAUUGAAUCAUAUUCACAGUCAUUGAGGUAUUUUAAGUAUAAUUGGAGUGUAGAAAGUGAAAGAAAUCGAUUUGGAGUUAAAUUGGAGGUUUUAGCCAAUUACACCUCGAAUAGUGCGAAUUAGGUCAAUACCGUAUUUAAACGGCUAUUUAAACAUUUUGCAGCACAUUUCGUGCAUACAUAUAGAUUUAUAGAGCCUGAAAUAGUUUAUGAUAAAUUGACAUAAUUUAUUAAAAUUAGUGUCAUGUAUGAUGUAUAGGUGGUGAGCCCUCUAACAAGGGUAAAGAGAUUGUGUCUAAAGACCGGGAAUAGGAGUAUAUCGAACUCCUAGUACUGUGAGUAACCUUACUAUCGUCGUAAUUAUCUAGAGUGAUUUUUAUCCGAUUUUGUGAUUUUAUGAAAAAUGAGUUUAAAUGGUAAAUUUUUAGGUUUUAUAAACAAAAUGUGUUUAAAUACAAAUGAUUUCAUAAAUGGUCUUGAAAUUGAAUGAAGGCUUUGAAAAUAAAGUAAUUGGAGACCAUUUGAUGUAUUGUGAAUUUAUGGUUCUAAUUGAUUGGCUUAUGACAAUGUUGGCCUGAAUGGCUGAAUUGGUAUUUGUGUUGAAAUGUAUAAACUGUUGUUUGCCUUGAUAAGCUGGAUAAUGAUAAAAUUCCCAUAUCAUGCUGUUGAAUUUUUAUUGUAUGAUGGGUUUAGCUUGCUGCAGUGGACUGGUUCUGUGGACCAACCUAUUAGAGGGGCACGGAACCUGGUCAUAUAUAUGUACCUCGAUUGGAAAGGUGCGUUGGGUAACUCCCGAGGUCAAACUUUAGAGUUCAUUUCACGCCCAACCACCACGUGAGGGGAACUCUGCCAACGCCAAGGAACGACUAUGUUUUCAAAAUAAAAACAUGAUUUAUACGUACAUAACUUUUUAACAGCCUUGGCGAAUUCGGUUGGGAUAGCCCUCGAUCAAGGCAUCCUUGAUAACUGGGUAUGAGAAUGAUUUUGGCACGAGCCAAAGUUUUAAGAAAUUCAUAAGCCAUGUUAAUUACUCGAUUUAUAUGAAUUGAUUUUAUUUGGUUGAAACAAGUUGAAAGGUGAUGAAUUUCAGUAUGUUAAACUGUUUUAUCUGUCUCCAUUUACUCGACUUUAGAUGGUUUAGAUGGUAUCUAUUUACUCACUGAGAUUUUAUAAUCUCACCACCCUCAUUUUCAACCAUUUCAAGCUCGAGGUAGUCUGUGGAUAGCAGAUAUCGUCAAGGAUUAUAGUCGGCUUUACUACUCCAAAAACUGUAAGUUUACAGUCUUUGUGCACUUUUGUUCCUUGUGGGCCCACGAGUCACUGGAAAGUAAAUUUCAUAUCCCGAUUAUCGGUAUUAUAGUACGUAUGAAUUUAUUUAGCUUUUACAUUACAAAAAUUAUUUACCGAUGACUCUAUAAAUAUUAUUUUACAAGAAAUUAGAAUAUUUUAUUGAAUAUUUUUAUUUUAUUCAAAUAGUUGCAAUAUCAUUUUUAAUAAAUGUUUUAGACACCCAAAUUUAUUUUAAAUCAUAAAAUAUGUGUUUUUCACUCAUCUACUACAUUUUUUGUCGGGUUCGGAAAAUUUUGAGGAAAAAUGAAGAAAACGCCCCUGUGAGGCGAAAAUUAUUUUUCCACGGUUUUGAAAGGGAAAAAGCUUAAAAUUCUUUAAAAAUGAGGUUUGACGAUGAUUACUCACAG
rnacentral:lncRNA from 1 species